UGCGCAGGCAGACACCACACUCGGUUUCGCAUGAAGAGUCAAUGAGGAGGGAAGAGGAAUCACAACAGGUGCAGGACGCAGGCUUGUGGGAGCAGAGACAGGACACCAACGUCCUUCGUUACAUCCAGCUGACUCAGCUGAAGAUGAACCGUUGCAGUCUCCAGCGGGAGGACAGUGGGGCCGGAGCCCGGACUCGGGAUGUGAUUGGCUGAGGCCAACCCAGGACUGUCUCUACCCCAUCCCUUCCCCUCACCGUGUAUUUCCCCCGACUCACGUAUUUGCUGGUAAAACACUUGUCACUGGUGAGCAUAA